ensembl:misc_RNA Metazoa_SRP Metazoan signal recognition particle RNA
UCUGGGCACAGUGGCUCAUGCCUAUAAUCCCAGCAUUUUAGGAGGCCAAGGUGGGAGGAUCACUUGAGCCUUGGAGUUCGAGGCUGCAGUAAGCUAUGACCAUGCCCACUGCACUCCAGACUUCAGCCUGGGCAACAGAAGCCCUGCCUCUUAAAAAAAAAGAAAGAAAAACAUGGUGACCUCCUGGGAGUGAAAGACUAGCAGGUUGCCUAAAAAGGGGUGAACUGGCCCAGGUUGGAAACUCAGCAGGUCAAAACUCUGGUGCUGAUUAGUAGUGGGAUUGCACCUUUGAAUAUCCACUGCACUGCAGCCUGGCCAACACAGUGAGACCCCGUGUCU